GUCUGGAUAGCUCAAUAGUUUAGAGCAGUUGCCCGGAAAGCGAAAGACUCGGAUUCGAUUCCCGAUCCAGCCA
rfam:Camponotus floridanus CamFlo_1.0_2.contig6559, whole genome shotgun sequence.